AGAGUUUGAUCAUGGCUCAGAUUGAACGCUGGCGGCAGGCCUAACACAUGCAAGUCGAACGGUAACAGGAAGCAGCUUGCUGCUUUGCUGACGAGUGGCGGACGGGUGAGUAAUGUCUGGGAAACUGCCUGAUGGAGGGGGAUAACUACUGGAAACGGUGGCUAAUACCGCAUAACGUCGCAAGACCAAAGAGGGGGACCUUCGGGCCUCUUGCCAUCAGAUGUGCCCAGAUGGGAUUAGCUAGUUGGUGAGGUAACGGCUCACCAAGGCGACGAUCCCUAGCUGGUCUGAGAGGAUGACCAGCCACACUGGAACUGAGACACGGUCCAGACUCCUACGGGAGGCAGCAGUGGGGAAUAUUGCACAAUGGGCGCAAGCCUGAUGCAGCCAUGCCGCGUGUAUGAAGAAGGCCUUAGGGUUGUAAAGUACUUUCAGCGGGGAGGAAGGUGUUGUGGUUAAUAACCACAGCAAUUGACGUUACCCGCAGAAGAAGCACCGGCUAACUCCGUGCCAGCAGCCGCGGUAAUACGGAGGGUGCAAGCGUUAAUCGGAAUUACUGGGCGUAAAGCGCACGCAGGCGGUCUGUCAAGUCGGAUGUGAAAUCCCCGGGCUCAACCUGGGAACUGCAUUCGAAACUGGCAGGCUUGAGUCUUGUAGAGGGGGGUAGAAUUCCAGGUGUAGCGGUGAAAUGCGUAGAGAUCUGGAGGAAUACCGGUGGCGAAGGCGGCCCCCUGGACAAAGACUGACGCUCAGGUGCGAAAGCGUGGGGAGCAAACAGGAUUAGAUACCCUGGUAGUCCACGCCGUAAACGAUGUCUACUUGGAGGUUGUGCCCUUGAGGCGUGGCUUCCGGAGCUAACGCGUUAAGUAGACCGCCUGGGGAGUACGGCCGCAAGGUUAAAACUCAAAUGAAUUGACGGGGGCCCGCACAAGCGGUGGAGCAUGUGGUUUAAUUCGAUGCAACGCGAAGAACCUUACCUGGUCUUGACAUCCACAGAACUUUCCAGAGAUGGAUUGGUGCCUUCGGGAACUGUGAGACAGGUGCUGCAUGGCUGUCGUCAGCUCGUGUUGUGAAAUGUUGGGUUAAGUCCCGCAACGAGCGCAACCCUUAUCCUUUGUUGCCAGCGAUUAGGUCGGGAACUCAAAGGAGACUGCCAGUGAUAAACUGGAGGAAGGUGGGGAUGACGUCAAGUCAUCAUGGCCCUUACGACCAGGGCUACACACGUGCUACAAUGGCGCAUACAAAGAGAAGCGACCUCGCGAGAGCAAGCGGACCUCAUAAAGUGCGUCGUAGUCCGGAUUGGAGUCUGCAACUCGACUCCAUGAAGUCGGAAUCGCUAGUAAUCGUGGAUCAGAAUGCCACGGUGAAUACGUUCCCGGGCCUUGUACACACCGCCCGUCACACCAUGGGAGUGGGUUGCAAAAGAAGUAGGUAGCUUAACCUUCGGGAGGGCGCUUACCACUUUGUGAUUCAUGACUGGGGUGAAGUCGUAACAAGGUAACCGUAGGGGAACCUGCGGUUG
rnacentral:rRNA from 1 species